rnacentral:rRNA from 1 species
UACGUAGGGGGCAAGCGUUAUCCGGAUUUACUGGGUGUAAAGGGGGCGCAGACGGCGAUGCAAGCCAGGAGUGAAAGCCCGGGGCCCAACCCCGGGACUGCUCUUGGAACUGCGAGGCUGGAGUGCAGGGGGGGCAGGCGGAAUUCCUGGUGUAGCGGUGAAAUGCGUAGAUAUCAGGAGGAACACCGGUGGCGAAGGCGGCCUGCUGGACUGCAACUGACGUUGAGGCCCGAAAGCGUGGGGAGCAAACAGG